rnacentral:rRNA from 1 species
GACGAACGCUGGCGGCGUGCUUAACACAUGCAAGUCGAACGGUAAGGCCCUUCGGGGUACACGAGUGGCGAACGGGUGAGUAACACGUGGGUGAUCUGCCCUGCACUUCGGGAUAAGCCUGGGAAACUGGGUCUAAUACCGGAUAGGACCACUGCCUGCAUGGGUGGUGGUGGAAAGCUUUUGCGGUGUGGGAUGGGCCCGCGGCCUAUCAGCUUGUUGGUGGGGUGAUGGCCUACCAAGGCGGCGACGGGUAGCCGGCCGGAGAGGGUGACCGGCCACACUGGGACUGAGAUACGGCCCAGACUCCUACGGGAGGCAGCAGUGGGGAAUAUUGCACAAUGGGCGCAAGCCUGAUGCAGCGACGCCGCGUGAGGGAUGACGGCCUUCGGGUUGUAAACCUCUUUCAGCACCGACGAAGCGCAAGUGACGGUAGGUGCAGAAGAAGGACCGGCCAACUACGUGCCAGCCGCCGCGGUAA